CUAACGAAUACAGACUCAAUGUUCUGUGAUUACUCCGUAAACUUACGGAAAAGAGUUUUGUUUUACGAACGAACGUAUACCAUUACUUCAGAUACAUCUGAAAAAGAAUCAUUCAGUACUUUUCGUAACUGAUUUUAUCCAACUUAACUUACAUUCAUUCAUCAUGCAUACACACAUUCACACACGCAUACGUACAACAAAAUUUGGGCGAACAAUAAGCUUUUUCCUACUACGAGCUUUUUCUAAACAAUUCUGUCGAUCACACACUUUCCGACAGGGUUUUUCUGUUUGACGGAUCUUCUCGAGAACUGUCACUGUCUGAAUGUUGUUUAUGUUUAACAAGUGAAUGCUGAUGGCUGUUCUGUACUUUAACUUUAAAAAUAAUGAAAUUGACCUGUUUUUACGUAUUUAUUGUUCCUGAAACUAUUGUAAAUUUUUACUAUUUCACGUGUAGGAUGUUAUUUAAUUGUUUUAUUUCAAUUCAUUAUCGAAUUAUGGACCAAGUCGGAGACUGCUUAUCAAUGAAGGGGAACACUCGAGGUGACAUCGCGACAUUGUAAGAGAAUUGGAGACGAAAUUUAUCAAUGACUAAUUCCUGCCUGUUUAAGGUCAACUUGGACCGAGACCAACGACGAUCAAUGGACUGACUCGACAUGAAUCGACGUGGCGAAACCGUAGCACCUCGAACUGAGUGUUUUUGUUAGGUUUACGUACUAGUCUUUACAUCUUCGGUGUAGAUAGUAAUCAUAGCUAUUAAAUCCUUUUUCUAAAAAAUAAACCGUGAUGCAUUCUGGAAA